rnacentral:rRNA from 1 species
GAACCCUACGGGAGGCAGCAGUGAGGAAUAUUGGUCAAUGGGCGAGAGCCUGAACCAGCCAAGUCGCGUGAGGGAAGACGGUCCUAUGGAUUGUAAACCUCUUUUGCCGGGGAGCAAAAAGCGGUACGUGUACCGCAUCGAGAGUACCCGGAGAAAAAACAUCGGCUAACCCCGUGCCAGCAGCCGCGGUAAUACGGAGGAUGCGAGCGUUAUCCGGAUUUAUUGGGUUUAAAGGGUGCGCAGACGGCGAGUUAAGUCAGCGGUAAAAUUUCGGGGCUCAACCCCGACAAGCCGUUGAAACUUGG